UCGGCUCAGCCUAUCAUCGGCCGAGGCGGGACAUCGCUGUGGCCGGUGAUAGGCUGAAGGCUCUGUGACGUCCCAACACCAGGAAGCAGCGAUAACAGCGGAGGGACCAUGAGGCCGGUGCCUUAGCAACGGGGGAACGGAGGAUGAAGUUCCUGUCUUGAGAUGCAGUAGCUCCUCCAAGCUGCUGUCAGCUGGGAGAACGUAUUAAGGUUGCUGGAGAGCUUUUCCAGCCUACAGACUCACUUGAAGUUUGACAUUUGCAAGAAAAUGGCCGGAGCAUUGAGAAGAAGUUACACAAGGACACUGGAGGAAAUGUAAACUGCUAAAAUAAACAGUGGAAACAAACAAAGAAUUACCAAGAGAGUCUGGGGCUGCUGUGGA